GAAUAGACAAAACAAAACUAGAAAACCAAAGAAAAUAGCCCCAUAAACUGGAACAACGGCAUAUUUCCACUUGCAACUGCCUGGCCUGCUAUAAUAAUAUGUGGGGCAGACGUCAGUAUUUUUUAAGAUUCUAAACACAGCUGUGCACAAACCAUGCCUGCAUUAUCACUGUGAUGCUGAGAGGCAGGCAUAUGCCUUACAUUACACUAGCUAGAGCUGAGAGGAGGGAAUCAUUACCGUAUCAAUGAAAGGUACUUGCCUAACUAUUUUCCAUUAUUAAUUUUGUUUAUCAGGAUGACUCCUUGAAAUGUGAUGCAGGAUCCAUUUCUAGUACAGCUCCUGAUAUUUGUAUAGCAUACAAGCUUCAUUUGGAGUGUGGCAGGUUGAUUAACCUGGUUGACUGGUUGGAGGCUUUUUCAACAGUUGUAACUGCAGCUGGAAAUACAGAUUCCACAGUCAAAAACCAGACAGAUGAUAUUAUCCAUGCUCGUUUCAUUAGAGCAGUAUCAGAAUUGGAAUUUUUGGGAUUCAUAAAACCAACAAAACAGAAAACGGAUCACGUGGCAAGGCUGACAUGGGGUAGUUGCUAAUAUGUUCUUGUGAGAAUGAAAGCUCAUCCGUGAAACAAGAUUUUCUAUGGCAUUAAUACCAAUGGCAUCAUUACAAGAGAAAUCAUAUUUUCUACUGUGAUACCAGCCAUAAUAAAGGACACAAAAUGAC